rnacentral:rRNA from 1 species
UAGGGGAGCCGCAGGGAAACCGAGUCUUAAUUGGGCGUUAAGUUGCAGGGUAUAGACCCGAAACCCGGUGAUCUAGCCAUGGGCAGGUUGAAGGUUGGGUAACACUAACUGGAGGACCGAACCGACUAAUGUUGAAAAAUUAGCGGAUGACCUGUGGCUGGGGGUGAAAGGCCAAUCAAACCGGGAGAUAGCUGGUUCUCCCCGAAAGCUAUUUAGGUAGCGCCUCGUGAAUUCAUCUCCGGGGGUAGAGCACUGUUUCGGCUAGGGGGCCAUCCCGGCUUACCAACCCGAUGCAAACUGCGAAUACCGGAGAAUGUUAUCACGGGAGACACACGGCGGGUGCUAACGUCCGUCGUGAAGAGGGAAACAACCCAGACCGCCAGCUAAGGUCCCAAAGUCAUGGUUAAGUGGGAAACGAUGUGGGAAGGCCCAGACAGCCAGGAUGUUGGCUUAGAAGCAGCCAUCAUUUAAAGAAAGCGUAAUAGCUCACUGGUCGAGUCGGCCUGCGCGGAAGAUGUAACGGGGCUAAACCAUGCACCGAAGCUGCGGCAGCGACACUGUGUGUUGUUGGGUAGGGGAGCGUUCUGUAAGCCUGU